GCGUCCCAGGAACAUAAAGCGACGCAGUAAGAGGCACCAACAUCUUCUUUCCUUGAGGACGGAGCGAGAGAUCGUGUAGGGCAGCGGAGGCAAUGUCAAGGCGAGAAGUGGCUGUGCGAAUGUUGUUAAGGCUGUCGUGAAGGAGAUUGACUUCCAUAUCAGUCUGUUCCUUGAGAGCUUUGAGUUGCUCGACACUCAUCUUCUCCAACUCCAACUCCAACGAUCUCGCCCCUUCACCGGCGCUGCUUCCUU
rnacentral:misc_RNA from 1 species